rnacentral:rRNA from 1 species
AUUGAACGCUAGCGGGAUGCUUUACACAUGCAAGUCGAACGAGUGGGGACGGGUGAGUAACACGUGGGUAACCUCCCAUCAGAGGGGAUAACACUUGGAAACAGGUGCUAAACCGAUACUGAUGGAUGGACCUGCGGUGCAUUAGCUAGUUGGUGAGGUACCGGCUCACCAAGGCCACGAUGCAUAGCCGACCGGAACGGGUGAUCGGCCACACGGGAACUGGGACACGGCCCAGACUCCUACGGGAGGCAGCAGUAGGGAAUCUUCGGCAAUGGAGGAAAGUCUGACCGAGCAACGCCGCGUGAGUGAAGAAGGUUUUCGGAUCUUAAAACUCUGUUGUUAGAGAAGCGGUAUCUAACCAGAAAGCCACGGCUAACUACGUGCCAGCAGCCGCGGUAAUUC